rnacentral:rRNA from 1 species
UGGGGAAUAUUGGACAAUGGGGGCAACCCUGAUCCAGCCAUGCCGCGUGAGUGAUGAAGGCCUUCGGGUUGUAAAGCUCUUUUGGCGGGGACGAUGAUGACGGUACCCGCAGAAUAAGCCCCGGCUAACUUCGUGCCAGCAGCCGCGGUAAGACGAAGGGGGCUAGCGUUGUUCGGAAUUACUGGGCGUAAAGCGAGUGUAGGCGGUUGCCGUAGUCAGGUGUGAAAGCCUUGAGCUCAACUCAAGAAAUGCACUUGAUACUGGGUGACUAGAGGACCGGAGAGGAUAGUGGAAUUCCCAGUGUAGUGGUGAAAUACGUAGAGAUUGGGAAGAACACCAGUGGCGAAGGCGGCUAUCUGGACGGUUACUGACGCUAAGACUCGAAAGCGUGGGGAGCAAACAGGAUUAGAUACCCUGGUAGUCCACGCCGUAAACGAUGGGUGCUAGACGUUGGCGAGCUUGCUCGUCAGUGUCGCAGCUAACGCGUUAAGCACCCCGCCUUGGGGAGUACGGCCGCAAGGUUGAAA